GCUGCUGCGGCUCUCUGCUCCCCCUCCCUCCUCCUCCGCUGCCCGGCGCUCCUGUCUUCUCUCCUCCAGCGCGGCGCACGGCGCAGUCACAGAGGCGGCAUGUAAUGAGUCAAUUUGACUCAUUAUAUGCUGCUGGCCGUGCGCCCCCAGGGCAACUGUGCUGUGUGCCAAGCCCCCUUGGCACACACGUAGUUACGGCCCUGGUGAAGACGGCUGUAACACGGCAGCCAUUCCGUGUUCAUGCAGUGUGUGGAAGGCCUAAUGUAGUAGUUCCUUCCACCGGAACAAAACAAAGUCCAUGCCAGUCAAAAUCAAUAGAGGAUGAUGGUAGCUGUGAGCAUGCUGGUGGUGUGUAAUAUGUACUGUGCUAUCCCAUCUACAUGGUCUGGACAAGCCAAGAUCAAACAGUGUUGGAGAGCACAAGAAGGUCAUCAUAAGUCCUGAAUAAGGGAGCAUGCACAGUGAUACAAAUUCAUUGUGUCAGCCUACAGAAAUGCCAGCCACAGAACAGCAGAUGUGGUCUGCCUACUAGCAUGAGCCAGAAUUAGUUGCCUUAUGGAAAUGGCAUGUGACGUGUGUAAUUUUAGUAGUCUACGUGAAUUCUCAACCAUGAAACAUCUUUUUUUGUCUUCUGCAUAAGUUACAGUCCUCGUGUUCUGUCAUAUGAAAUACCCUAUUGUGCUAUUCUUUUUCUUAAUGUAGGUUUUUUAAAUUACUUUACUGCCUUCUACAAACAAUAAUAUUUAAUGCUU